GUGAGGAAUUUUCCGCAAUGGGCGAAAGCCUGACGGAGCAAUGCCGCGUGAAGGAUGAAGGCCUAUGGGUUGUAAACUUCUUUUCUCAGAAAAGAAUUAUGACGGUAUCUGAGGAAUAAGCAUCGGCUAACUCUGUGCCAGCAGCCGCGGUAAGACAGAGGAUGCAAGCGUUAUCCGGAAUGAUUGGGCGUAAAGCGUCUGUAGGUUGUUUAAAAAGUAUUCUGUCAAAGAUUAGGGCUUAACCCUAGAUAGGCAGAAUAAACUUUUAAGCUAGAGUUUGGUAGAGGCAGAGGGAAUUCCCGGUGGAGCGGUGAAAUGCGUAGAUAUCAGGAGGAACACCGAUGGCGAAGGCAGAUCUCUGGGCCGUAACUGACGCUGAGGAGCGAAAGCGUGGGGAGCGAACAGGAUUAGAAACCCUAGUAGUCC
rnacentral:rRNA from 1 species